rnacentral:rRNA from 1 species
CCAUAGCGUAUAUUUAAGUUGUUGCAGUUAAAAAGCUCGUAGUUGGAUUUCGGGUUGGCUUCAGCGGUCUCGCUUUGCGUUUGUACUGCUGCAGCCUACCUUCUUGUCGGGGACGGGCCUUCGGGCUUAAUUGCUUGGGGCCCGGAGUCGACGAUGUUACUUUGAGUAAAUUAGAGUGUUCAAAGCAAGCCUACGCUCUGAAUAUAAUAGCAUGGGAUAACACGACAGGACUCUGGCCUAUCGUGUUGGUCUGUAGGACCAGAGUAAUGAUUAAGAGGGACAGUCGGGGGCAUUCGUAUUCCGUUGUCAGAGGUGAAAUUCUUGGAUUUACGGAAGACGAACAUCUGCGAAAGCAUUUGCCAAGGAUGUUUUCAUUGA